GGUGGUCCGCACGGGAGUCCGGGGAGUACCGGACUGAGAGGGAGCGUGAGGCGCUCCGACCGUCGAACCUGAUCCGGGUCAUGCCGGCGCAGGGAGCGUGAGUGCUGUGGCG
rnacentral:ncRNA from 2 species